UGGGGAAUAUUGGACAAUGGGCGCAAGCCUGAUCCAGCCAUGCCGCGUGAGUGAUGAAGGCCCUAGGGUUGUAAAGCUCUUUCACCGGUGAAGAUAAUGACGGUAACCGGAGAAGAAGCCCCGGCUAACUUCGUGCCAGCAGCCGCGGUAAUACGAAGGGGGCUAGCGUUGUUCGGAUUUACUGGGCGUAAAGCGCACGUAGGCGGACUAUUAAGUCAGGGGUGAAAUCCCGGGGCUCAACCCCGGAACUGCCUUUGAUACUGGUAGUCUUGAGUUCGAGAGAGGUGAGUGGAAUUCCGAGUGUAGAGGUGAAAUUCGUAGAUAUUCGAGGGAACACCAGUGGCGAAGGCGGCUCACUGGCUCGAUACUGACGCUGAGGUGCGAAAGCGUGGGGAGCAAACAGG
rnacentral:rRNA from 1 species